GGUGGAGGGUGAAGCAGACAGGCCUGAACUCAAUGCAGGAAGACCAUUCAGCAGGCUUGGGCUUCAUCCAGGCACGAGGGGAUAGGAACUUCCACGUGGCAAGGUCCCUCAGGACAGGGGCUGGCGGAGUUCCAUCCAGCAACAGCCUGACCAAACGUAACUUGCACACUCCUGUAUUCCCCAGACCCCGACUAGUGGUGCACUCGGACACGCCAGAAGGCAAACUCUCCUUGUGGGUGAGACAGAGUUUUCUGUAGAGCCCCCUGCACCAUCAUUCUGAGAGGUCACCCUUUGUGUCUGCUGAUGGUUCCAUGGGACUCUGAGAAGGGAUUUAGAAACGAAAUAAAUCUAUAAAUGCCUACCGGAGAACACCUCUACAUUUUCCUGCCUCCAACCAAGCUAAGAAUGCAUGCCCAAUGACAGGAAAUGCUGUCUGGGGAUUGCUUUAUAAACAGCCAGCGAAAGGGGAAGAUGAAAAGGGGAAAGUAGAUGAAGCGAGAUUGGCUACACAUAGAUCAUUGUCAAAGCUGAGUGAUGGGUGCCAGGGAUUCAUCAUGCCAUUCUCUCUACAUUUGUGGGUUUGAAAUUUUUCAUAAUGAAAAAACUUGAAAACCUUAUCAACAAUAACAAAAACAAUCAAGUUAAUAAUAAUUAAGGGGUAUGGAACUGUAAAACAAACAGAAUUUUUAAAAUAAUUUAUGGAAGUAGGAACAUGGACUGGCUAUUUGCUCAUAUUAAGGAAUUAUGAUCAUGGUAUUGUGGUUAUGUUUUAAAAAAAUAAUUCUUAUCUUUUAGAGAUAUAUCCCAAAAUAUUUAUGGAUGAAAUG
rnacentral:lncRNA from 1 species